UGAAAGACCAGUUCCCGUAAGAUUGCCGAAGUUAAGCAAUGACAAGCCUGGUUAGCACCUGGAUGCGUGAUUGCUUGGGAAUACCAGGUCCUGUA